GCGCCCUGGGGCUCGUGGCGAACGGGUGAGUAAUACAUCGGAACAUGUCCUGUAGUGGGGGAUAGCCCGGCGAAAGCCGGAUUAAUACCGCAUACGAUCCACGGAUGAAAGCGGGGGACCUUCGGGCCUCGCGCUAUAGGGUUGGCCGAUGGCUGAUUAGCUAGUUGGUGGGGUAAAGGCCUACCAAGGCGACGAUCAGUAGCUGGUCUGAGAGGACGACCAGCCACACUGGGACUGAGACACGGCCCAGACUCCUACGGGAGGCAGCAGUGGGGAAUUUUGGACAAUGGGCGAAAGCCUGAUCCAGCAAUGCCGCGUGUGUGAAGAAGGCCUUCGGGUUGUAAAGCACUUUUGUCCGGAAAGAAAUCCUUGGCUCUAAUACAGUCGGGGGAUGACGGUACCGGAAGAAUAAGCACCGGCUAACUACGUGCCACAGCCGCGGUAAUACGUAGGGUGCAAGCGUUAAUCGAAUUACUGGGCGUAAAGCGUGCGCAGGCGGUUUGCUAAACCGAUGUGAAAUCCCCGGGCUCAGCUGAGAACUGGAUUGGGUGACUGGGCAGGAAGGAGGCCGAGGGGGGAAAAUU
rnacentral:rRNA from 1 species